AAUGGCACUAGAAAGUAGAUAAAGGGAGAACAAAUAAGUGAUGAAAGAAUAUAAGAAUGAAAAAAGAACAGAGAGGAGUUCGGCGUGACCCUUGAAGGGUUCUGAAGGAACGUUGAAGACGACGACGAUGAUAGGGCGGGUGUGUAAGCGCAGGGAUGCGUUGAGCUAACCAGUACUAAUGAACCGUGAGGCUUAACCUUACAACGCCGAAG
rnacentral:rRNA from 1 species